GUGGUUAGUGUUUUGAUGUCCCGAAAUAAAUAAUCUUUGAAGUAAUUCUUGAUUCUUAGAUCAACUAGAGAACUCUCAGGAAACUUCCUCUCUUCCCACCAAAAAUAAUCAUAUAGUUAUCCUUGGGCGAUCUUGGAUCUUAAUUAGUACACUCACGUUCCCUGUGGAAAAUCGAUACUCUGGAAUACUCCCGGGUGAAGGCUACAUCGGUAUCCGUGCGCUUGCGGAUUUUUUCAGUUUGCGUUUAAAAUACCCAACAAGCUUUCUGGCGCCGUUGCCGGGGAACGGUAGCUGUGCUAGUUUCGAACCAAGUCGUCCGUGUAUCCUUUUUCUUUUCUUUUUUUUACCACACUCACCUUAUCACUUUCACCAUACCACAUGGAUUUCACUCUAAGCAUUAAUGAGCAUGGAAUUUAUUUCAUAGCCACUUCAUUUACUCCAUGCUCAUAUGCAACAUCUUCACAAUCCAUUGGUCUCUCCAACAUCACCACAUUCGAGAUCUCCAACCCCCUCUUCCUUUCUAUUCAUAAAAACUUUAAAAGGGCGGUUGUCGAUGCAUAUGUCUAUAAUAAAUAUUGCAGAUCUCGUUGAGUUGAUCUUGAUAAAGGUCAGCAUUGGAGGGGAAACCACUUCGCCAACAUAAAUUGAUGGUUUCCCAAGAACAAGCUUAGUGUCCUAAAAUAAGCACUGAUUAGAUCGUAACAUGAGCUUUUGCAACA
rnacentral:lncRNA from 1 species